rnacentral:lncRNA from 1 species
ACAUCAAGCUGUAAAGGAAAAAAAAAUUCCUACCAACUGCUUGUAAAUUUUUUACCGUUAGAUCUACUCCUCUGAUCAUUUUUAACCGUUAGAUUAUACUAUUUAACCAACCACCCACUCAACCCCUAGGGGACCCACAUCAUCCUAACCGCACAUCCUUUAAUCCAACGGCUAAAAAUCUACGAGCACCAAUAACUUGGUACUUUUAAA